rnacentral:rRNA from 1 species
AGCAGUCGCCGCGGUAAUACAGAGGGUGCAAGCGUUAAUCGGAUUUACUGGGCGUAAAGGGCGCGUAGGUGGUUAUUUAAGUGAGAUGUGAAAUCCCCGGGCUUAACCUGGGACCUGCAUUUGUGACUGUAUAGCUAGAGUACGGUAGAGGGGGAUGGAAUUCCGCGUGUAGCAGUGAAAUGCGUAGAUAUGCGGAGGAACACCGAUGGCGAAGGCAAUCCCCUGGACCUGUACUGACGCUCAUGCACGAAAGCGUGGGGAGCAAACAGGAUUAGAUACCCGUGUAGUCCCUGUCUCUUAUAA